AUACGUAGGGGGCUAGCGUUAUCCGGAUUUACUGGGCGUAAAGGGUGCGUAGGUGGUCUCUUAAGUCAGGAGUGAAAGGCUACGGCUUAACCGUAGUAAGCUCUUGAAACUGGGAGACUUGAGUGCAGGAGAGGAAAGUGGAAUUCCUAGUGUAGCGGUGAAAUGCGUAGAUAUUAGGAGGAACACCAGUAGCGAAGGCGACUUUCUGGACUGUAACUGACGCUGAGGCUCGAAAGCGUGGGGAGC
rnacentral:rRNA from 1 species